CACGUAGGCGGUUUGGUAAGUCGAAUGUGAAAUCUCACGGCUCAACCGUGAAACUGCGUUCGAAAUUACCUGACUUGAGUACUGGAGAGGUAUGCGGAAUUCCUGGUGUAGCGGUGGAAUGCGUGGAUAUCAGGAAGAACACCAGUGGCGAAGGCGGCAUACUGGCCAAGUACUGACGCUCAGGUGCGAAAGCGUGGGGAGCAAACG
rnacentral:rRNA from 1 species